CUGUGAUUCUAUCUAUGACCUCAUUUAAGGGUUGGCGGUGGAGGUAAGGGUAUCCUGCUGGAGGUUCCUGCCUACCUGAGGCCUUCCAAGGGAACUCCGGGCUGAUGUGGAGAAGGGCAGGGGAAAAUUGCCUCCCGGAUGAGGUAUACGGCAAGAGCAGUUACAAAGAACCGCUUUACCCAGAGAAAGCCUGAUGCAGCACCAAACAGCCCCCUGGCCCUAAGAUACCAUAGGAACCUCUGAGGCUCCACACUGUCCACUGGAGAGAACCCCAGACCAACAGGCAAAGAGACAGAGAGAUUGGUUUUGAGCACGUGCUUUGUAAGGAGGUACCUUCGGAGAGACCCAUGCUGAAGGAGAUCGCCAAUGUGAGAGAUGUUCUACAGACAAACGUAUUGAAAGGAAUGGCUGGGAAGAGGUGCACACAGUGGUGCUGCAGGAUUUUAUUUCCCAUGUCAGAAUCACGUGGCUUACAUCGGUUAGGUGUUUCCCAGGGCUGGGAGCUCUUUACAGGAUUGCUCCUUUGUAGCUGUCUGAGCAGCAUCCAAAAACAUGGCACUUCCCUCUCAGAGGGGACCUCUGCAUAGCCCGUCUCUACAAAUGCAUACUGAGGUUACUUGGGCUGCUUGUAAGCCAGACAAAGCCACUGCAUGUGGGGAGCUAUAUGAAUGCCAUGGCGUUAAAAUCCAAGCUGGUUUCAAUUUGUUCUCACUUGUGCAACUGGGACACAUCUCAGAGGCGUGUGACAACUCAUCCCAGUGGUCUCCAGAUGGACAAAAUGUGGUGCCCAGGAAAGGAGUUUCCAUGUUGCCCUCUGCAUGCGAGCUGAGGGUGUCCUCUGUGUCAGGGUACAGCAGGAGAACCCUCACCCUGCGCCUUGCAGUAACUCUAUGGCCUGCUGCCUUUACUCAGAGUGGUGAGGAUGCACGCUCUGUGU
ensembl:lncRNA